AUGGCGCCGCCCGCAAGAUCAUCGGCGCCUUUGUUCCUCCUCCUCGUUGUUCUCCUCGUCGCCGCACGGCGCUCCGCCGGUGACGAUGACUCUCCACCGCAGGUGCAGCCUUUGGACCCCAAGUGCCAGGAGAUGACGGAGAUGUGCACCCCGGCGACGUGCACCAAGCUCUGCCUCAGCAUAGGGCUGGGUAAAGACGCCGACGGCGGGUUCUGCACCUUCCAUGGCAUGCAGUUCUACUGCUGCUGCCCCAUACCCGCCCCCGUCCCGCCGCCCUCAAGGCUCUGA
rnacentral:rRNA from 1 species